GACAGAGGGUGCAAACGUUUGUUCGGAUUUACUGGGCGUAAAGCGCGUGUAGGCGGCUUGGCAAGUCGGAUGUGAAAAGCCCACGGCUCAACCGUGGAAGCGCAUCCGAAACUGCUUCGCUCGAGUCUCGGAGAGGAAGGUGGAAUGCUUGGUGUAGAGGUGAAAUUCGUAGAUAUCAAGCAGAACACCUGCGGCGAAGGCGGCCUUCUGGACGAUGACUACGUGAGACGCGAAAAGCGUGGGGGAGCAAACAGGAU
rnacentral:rRNA from 1 species